ensembl:misc_RNA RNaseP_nuc Nuclear RNase P
GGCGGAGGGAAGCUCAUCGGUGGGGCCACGAGCUGAGUGCGUCGCGUCACUCUACCCCAUGUCCCUUGGGAAGGUCUGAGACUAGGGCCAAAAGCGGCCCCAACAGGGCUCUCCCUGAACUGCGGGGAGGUGAGUUCCCAGAGAACGGGGCUUCGCGCGAGGGCAGACUGGGCAGGAGAUGCCAAGGACCCCUACCCCCGGGAAAGGGCCUGGCGGAUGCCUCCUUCGCUGAAGCUUGGAACAGACUCACGGCCAGCUAAGUGAGUUCAAUGGCUGAGGUGAGGUACCUUGUCCGGGGACCUCAUAACCCAAUUCAGACUACUCUCCCCCGUC